UACGUAGGGUCCGAGCGUUAAUCGGAAUUACUGGGCGUAAAGCGUGCGCAGGCGGUUUUGUAAGCCAGAUGUGAAAUCCCCGGGCUCAACCUGGGAACUGCAUUUGGGACUGCAAGGCUAGAGUACGGCAGAGGGGGGUAGAAUUCCUGGUGUAGCAGUGAAAUGCGUAGAUAUCGAGAGGAACACCUGCGGCGAAGGCGGGUUGCUGGGCCGACACUGACGCUGAUGCGCGAAAGCCAGGGGAGCGAACGGG
rnacentral:rRNA from 1 species